rnacentral:rRNA from 1 species
GACGAACGCUGGCGGCGUGCUUAACACAUGCAAGUCGAACGGAAAGGCCCUGCUUUUGUGGGGUGCUCGAGUGGCGAACGGGUGAGUAACACGUGAGUAACCUGCCCUUGACUUUGGGAUAACUUCAGGAAACUGGGGCUAAUACCGGAUAGGAGCUCCCGCUGCAUGGUGGGGGUUGGAAAGUUUCGGAGGUUGGGGAUGGACUCGCGGCUUAUCAGCUUGUUGGUGGGGUAGUGGCUUACCAAGGCUUUGACGGGUAGCCGGCCUGAGAGGGUGACCGGCCACAUUGGGACUGAGAUACGGCCCAGACUCCUACGGGAGGCAGCAGUGGGGAAUAUUGCACAAUGGGCGGAAGCCUGAUGCAGCAACGCCGCGUGCGGGAUGACGGCCUUCGGGUUGUAAACCGCUUUCGCCUGUGACGAAGCGUGAGUGACGGUAAUGGGUAAAGAAGCACCGGCUAACUACGUG